ensembl:lncRNA
GUUGAGCAUGUUGUGCUUGCAUUAAACAAUGCCACGAGUCGAAUGGCUAAAGAGAUAAUCUUUAGCCAUAUCAUUGUUCCGCCGCGCAGAUCCCAACGCGACGUGACGGACAUGCCAGCAGUGAAACACACUGCUCAACAGUCUGGAAGUUUCCUACUUCAGCCAGAUGGACACCCGUUUCAGCAAACGUGGCAGGAAGGCUGAGGAUAAUGAAGCUAACCCCAAGCUGCUACACGCUGUGGAAGAGGACCUGGCACAAGAAUGUGAAGAGGUCCCUAUUCAUCCAAAGAAAAAAAAGCUAAUCAAAUAUUCCCCAAGGAAAACCAUGUCUCCAACAGGUGCAUUGGAGUUGGCCAAACUGAAGGAACAAACCAAGAUGGACCGACAGAAGAUAGAACACCUUGAGGAGCGCAUUAAUUACCUGGAGGAGGCCAUCAAGGACCUGAAAGCUGACAAGGACGUCCUACUUGCCAAAAUUAAGGAAGCUCCCAGCACACUUACAUCUUCUGGGAAAGGCAGAAAGACUGCUCCAGAACCUUCUUCAUCUUCGACUUCAACAUCGACAUCUCCCUCCUCAGACUCCAGCUUCUUAUUAUCCUCAGAAGAAGAGAAGAAAAAGAAAAGGAAGAAGUCCAAGAAAAAGACCAUUAAGUCAAAAAAACACACUGAAUCAUACAGCGGUUCAAGAAGCAGGUAAGAAAGGACAUUACUUCCUGGGCAUUCUCCUUCGAGGCUGGUGAAGGCAGAUAUUGCUAGCCACAGAGUCAGGUAGGAAAGUCUUAAUAUAACCAGCCUAGAAGAAGGAUGCAAAAGUAAGGAUCCUUUCUCAUCUGCUACUACUACAAAACCUAUUAGGUGCCAAAUCAACAAUGCCAGUACAUGCCUGAAAAACUGACCUAUUUUGUUUGUUUUUCUGUUGUGUUCUUACGUAACCACAACAGAUGGAGUGAUCCGUCGCUAUAAGGAUGUCCUUCGUAUCUUCAAAAAGUGUGGAUCCAUGAAGAAAGCCUUUGUGAAAAUGAAUGUUGAUCGAAACACAAUUGCACGCACAGCUAUAAUUGCUUAGCUAGCAAUGUUUUGUGUUGAAAUACAUAAAGGAAAAA